AAGAAAACAGUGGUGGAUGAUCGUAGGAUCCUUUCCAUGGAAAUGUUUAGGGGGGGGCUGAGGGGGUGCCCGAGGCUGAGACAACACCCCCUCUAAGUCUGGUGCCAGCUCCAAGGUGCCGGCUGUUCCUGGCGGCUGCCCUGGUUGCUGCCCAGAAGCCGCAGCCAGCGCCCCCUGCUGCCCAGGAGCCGCAGCCAGCGCCCCCUGCCGCCCAGGACCCGCAGCCGCCAGUGGCCACAGCCGUCGCCACCUCCCACAUUGCCCUCUCCUGACCAUCCGCCGGCUCCUGACCCUCCACCGGCUGUCCCUGCUCCUGACCCUCCUCUGCCUGCUCCGGCUCCUGGUUCUCCGCCGGUCCCUGACGCCUCAUCAUCUGCGCCUGCCUCCAUCUCCCUCCUUGGAACGUGACAAGAAGAAACCCUUCACAACAUCCAGCCAAGUGAAGAACACUCUC